GCCCCAGGAUUCCCAGGUGUUCGCAUUCUGUGAUCAGGACAGAACACAGAAACCUCAUCAUGGAGUUUGUGCUUGGCUGGGUUUUCCUUGUUGCUGUUUUAAAAGGUGUCCAGUGUGAGGUGCAGCUGGUGGAGUCUGGGGGAGGCCUGGUGAAGCCUGGAGGGUCCCUGAGACUCUCCUGUGCAGCCUCCGGAUUCACCUUCAGUGACUAUGCCAUGGGCUGGGUCCGCCAGGCUCCAGGGAAGGGGCUGCAGUGGGUCUCAAGUAUUAGUAGUAGUGGAAGUUACACAUACUAUGCAGACUCCGUGAAGGGCCGAUUCACCAUCUCCAGAGACAACGCCAAGAACACGCUCUCUCUGCAGAUGAACAACCUGAGAGCCGAGGACACGGCCAUGUAUUUCUGUGCGAGAGACACAGUGAGGAGUCAUCAGGAUAUCCUGAUGCACAUCACACAAAGCUUUACAGGAUUUCAGAUGCACCCACUGCAUCACAGGACCAUCCAGCUCAACGUGCACUCUUGCUACAAGUAG